UUAUCUUUUGACGAUUUGAACCACAUUCUUAAUCUCGUGACUUUUACCAUUACAUCUUAUGUCAAUUAGGAUUAUCAACAUACGUAUCUUAUGAAAUAAAUUAGAGGAAAAUUAGGUUAAUACGAUUGGGAUGUUACAGUUUUGCCCCAACCUCAACUCCACUAAGAGGUAGUUUAAUGUCGCUCUUGAUCAGUUCUUACCUUGAAAUCUUUGUCGGACAAUUAUCUUUUCAUUCAAUCUAGAUUCAAGAAAUGUUUGUUAAUCAAGUGUUGAGGGUACGACCUCCUGGGGUCAUCCUCGGCCUUCAAUCGUCGUCACCGAAGUCUCCGCGUUACCGCUGUUGUCGCCGGGCUAGCACAUUGCAGUAGCCAACAUCAUCAACUUCCACCUCCAGGUUUCCAACAAAGGUCAUGUAGAAAUAAAUCAAUCCUACAAUGAGACAUAUCACAAAAAGAGUUCAGAUACUGAAACUAUCAUCAACAUAUCAUCGAUUGUUAAGAAAUUGGACUGAGUUACAUUGCAAUGAUAUGUAGAAAUCAAUCCUGAUCCUCUAAGUCCAAAUCUGGGUGUGCAUGACCAUUUGGAGAGUUAUUUUGAGAGUUAAGUAAGCAACGAGUAACAAAUAGAUAUAUGUCCAGUACUUACUGAACUUUGUCCACAUCUUGGCAGCCAUAGCAGCAAUUGUAACAUUGGAAUCAGUUUUCCACUCCAUCAGAUUCAUCUUCAAUUCACAAAUCUUGAGGUAAAACAUAUUAGCAGUAGGGUAAUUAUCUCCAGAAAACAACUUAGAAAUUGUGUCAACACAAUUUUAGCUUCUCACCAACAAUACCAGUAAACAACCAAUCAUUUGAACAAGGCAGCGAGUUAUAUUGAGGUUCUCUUUGUCUCAAUCGAGUGAACACUUCUUUGUAAGGAAGUGCAGAAGCAAUCAUGUGGUAAGUUGAAUUCCACCUUGUUGGACAAUUGAGUGCAAGUUUAUUGCUAAUAGAAAUACCUUUUUGUUUAGAAGUCUCCUAAAACACUCAACCCUUAUAGGAGUAGCAGUCCAAUAAACAACACUAUCCCUAAUCCUAUCAAUACCCUCUUUGAUGAUAUCCAAACUAUCCCUCAGAAUAAGAUUAAGAACAUGAGCAGAACAUCUCAUGUGUACCAACGAUCCAUAAUAUCACUCAAAACCAUCUUCCUUUUAAUUUUCUCAAUCAUGGCAUCAUUUGUAAAACAAUUAUCUAGAGUCAUGGUGGAUAACUUACUAUCCACGUUCCAAGACAUGAUGCAUGAACGAAGUACUGUAGGCAAUUUCUCAUUUGUGUGACGAGUCAGAACAUAUAGGAACCCGAAACUCACAACAUUGAACAAACAAGAAGAAAUUGAUGAUUAGAACAACAUUGACCUAAAGUUUGAAAUUUGCUAUUAUAAACAAACCUAUGAACUACCGUUAGGGAAUUCCUCAGCCACACCUUUGCUUCUGAAGCUCUGAACGUUUCCUGCACCAACAAUCAACAAAUUAGAUGAUAAACGAUGAUGCAUGUCUGGAAAACUGAAAUUCUGGAAAUAAAAACAUCAAGUUGAAGGCUUAAAGCAACAGACUUAUAAGUUUUUCUUUUGAAGACUUCGACAGUAGGAUCGAUCGCUCGAAUUUGUUACAAAUACCAAACCGGAAAAGAUGAAAGGAUGAGAAUAGAUUAGAAUAGGUAUCAUUGAUCUAUUUAUACUGAACGAAAGCAAAAAAAGGAAGAACACGAAGAUUAACUUGGAGAUUUGAAUUGGCAUCGAGAAUGGCUGAAACAGUGAAAUCGAAGGGUUUUUUUGGAGAUACGGCGCUGGGUAUUACCUAAACUGUGGAAGAUUUUGAUUAUUCUAUCCGAAUUUUAUUCCAAUCGAGCGGAAAUAGUAAGGAUCGAGAGGUUAGGGUUUCGUGCAUGCGCCGUUGGGGGUUUCGAAAUCGAAAAAUGAAAGGGAUGUAUACCGGG
rnacentral:lncRNA from 1 species